rnacentral:rRNA from 1 species
UUUGAUCAUGGCUCAGGACGAACGCUGGUGGCGUGCUUAACACAUGCAAGUCGCACGGGGCCCGCAAGGGUUCAGUGGCGAACGGGUGCGUAACACGUGAGGAACAUGCCCAUCGGCGGGGGAUAGCCGGCCCAACGGCCGGGUAAUACCGCGUACGACAGCUUGGUCGCAUGGCCGAGCUGUGAAAGCAGCAAUGCACCGAUGGAGUGCCUCGCGGCCUAUCAGCUUGUUGGUGAGGUAACGGCUCACCAAGGCGACGACGGGUAGCUGGUCUGAGAGGAUGGCCAGCCACAUUGGGACUGAGACACUGCCCAGACACCUACGGGAGGCAGCAGUGGGGAAUCUUGCGCAAUGGGCGAAAGCCUGACGCAGCGACGCCGCGUGGGUGAUGAAGGCCUUCGGGUCGUAAAGCCCUGUCGGGAGGAAAGAACGACCUCGUGGUAAAUAGCCACGGGGUGUGACGGUACCUCCGAAGGAAGCACCGGCCAACUCCGUGCCAGCCGCCGCGGUAAUAC